rnacentral:tRNA from 1 species
GCCCAGGUAGCUCAGUUGGUAGAGCAGAGGAUUGAAAAUCCUCGUGUCGGCAGUUCGAUUCUGUCCCUGGGCACCA